rnacentral:rRNA from 1 species
UCAGGACGAACGCUGGCGGCGUGCCUAACACAUGCAAGUCGAACGGACGAGGGGAGCUUGCUCCCCAAGUUAGUGGCGGACGGGUGAGUAACACGUGAGCAACCUGCCCUUCGGAGGGGGACAACAGCUGGAAACGGCUGCUAAUACCGCAUGAUGUAUUCUGGAGGCAUCUCCGGGAUACCAAAGAUUAUAUCGCCGAAGGAUGGGCUCGCGUCUGAUUAGAUAGUUGGCGGGUAACGGCCCACCAAGUCAACGAUCAGUAGCCGGACUGAGAGGUUGAACGGCCACAUUGGGACUGAGAUACGGCCCAGACUCCUACGGGAGGCAGCAGUGGGGAAUAUUGGGCAAAUGGGGGCAACCCUGACCCAGCAACGCCGCGUGAAGGAAGAAGGCUUUCGGGUUGUAAACUUCUUUGACGAGGGACGAUAGUGACGGUACCUCGAAAACAAGCCACGGCUAACUACGUGCCAGCCGCCGC